GGCGGCCGUAACUAUAACGGUCCUAAGGUAGCGAAAUUCCUUGUCGGGUAAGUUCCGACCUGCACGAAUGGCGUAAUGAUGGCCAGGCUGUCUCCACCCGAGACUCAGUGAAAUUGAACUCGCUGUGAAGAUGCAGUGUACCCGCGGCAAGACGGAAAGACCCCGUGAACCUUUACUAUAGCUUGACACUGAACAUUGAGCCUUGAUGUGUAGGAUAGGUGGGAGGCUUUGAAGUGUGGACGCCAGUCUGCAUGGAGCCGACCUUGAAAUACCACCCUUUAAUGUUUGAUGUUCUAACGUGGACCCGUGAUCCGGGUUGCGGACAGUGUCUGGUGGGUAGUUUGACUGGGGCGGUCUCCUCCUAAAGAGUAACGGAGGAGCACGAAGGUUGGCUAAUCCUGGUCGGACAUCAGGAGGUUAGUGCAAUGGCAUAAGCCAGCUUGACUGCGAGCGUGACGGCGCGAGCAGGUGCGAAAGCAGGUCAUAGUGAUCCGGUGGUUCUGAAUGGAAGGGCCAUCGCUCAACGGAUAAAAGGUACUCCGGGGAUAACAGGCUGAUACCGCCCAAGAGUUCAUAUCGACGGCGGUGUUUGGCACCUCGAUGUCGGCUCAUCACAUCCUGGGGCUGAAGUAGGUCCCAAGGGUAUGGCUGUUCGCCAUUUAAAGUGGUACGCGAGCUGGGUUUAGAACGUCGUGAGACAGUUCGGUCCCUAUCUGCCGUGGGCGCUGGAGAACUGAGGGGGGCUGCUCCUAGUACGAGAGGACCGGAGUGGACGCAUCACUGGUGUUCGGGUUGUCAUGCCAAUGGCACUGCCCGGUAGCUAAAUGCGGAAGAGAUAAGUGCUGAAAGCAUCUAAGCACGAAACUUGCCCCGAGAUGAGUUCUCCCUGAGACUUUAAGUCUCCUGAAGGAACGUUGAAGACGACGACGUUGAUAGGCCGGGUGUGUAAGCGCAGCGAUGCGUUGAGCUAACCGGUACUAAUGAACCGUGAGGCUUAACCUU
rnacentral:rRNA from 1 species